AAUAGAUACCCAGGUAGUCCACGCCGUAAACGAUGAGUGCUAAGUGUUAGGGGGUUUCCGCCCCUUAGUGCUGCAGCUAACGCAUUAAGCACUCCGCCUGGGGAGUACGGCCGCAAGGCUGAAACUCAAAGGAAUUGACGGGGGCCCGCACAAGCGGUGGAGCAUGUGGUUUAAUUCGAAGCAACGCGAAGAACCUUACCAGGUCUUGACAUCCUCUGACAACUCUAGAGAUAGAGCGUUCCCCUUCGGGGGACAGAGUGACAGGUGGUGCAUGGUUGUCGUCAGCUCGUGUCGUGAGAUGUUGGGUUAAGUCCCGCAACGAGCGCAACCCUUGAUCUUAGUUGCCAGCAUUCAGUUGGGCACUCUAAGGUGACUGCCGGUGACAAACCGGAGGAAGGUGGGGAUGACGUCAAAUCAUCAUCGCCCCUUAUGACCUGGGCUACACACGUGCUACAAUGGGACGGUACAAAAGAGUCGCAAGACCGCGAGGUGGAGCUAAUCUCUAGUAAAACCGUUCUCAGUUCGGAUUGCG
rnacentral:rRNA from 1 species